AGCUCCAAUAGCGUAUAUUAAAGUUGUUGCAGUUAAAAAGCUCGUAGUUGAACUUUGGGCCUGGCAGGCCGGUCCGCUUUUUGGCGAGUACUGACCCUGCCGGGCCUUUCCUUCUGGCUAACCUCCCCUCUGGAGAGGCGAACCAGGACUUUUACUUUGAAAAAAUUAGAGUGUUCAAAGCAGGCCUUUGCUCGAAUAUAUUAGCAUGGAAUAAUAGAAUAGGACGCUUGGUUCUAUUUUGUUGGUUUCUAGGACCAUCGUAAUGAUUAAUAGGGACGGUCGGGGGCAUCAGUAUUCAGUUGUCAGAGGUGAAAUUCUUGGAUUUACUGAAGACUAACUACUGCGAAAGCAUUUGCCAAGGACGUUUUCA
rnacentral:rRNA from 1 species